rnacentral:rRNA from 1 species
AUUGAACCCUGGCGGCAUGCCUUACACAUGCAAGUCGAACGGCAGCACGGAGCUUGCUCUGGUGGCGAGUGGCGAACGGGUGAGUAAUAUAUCGGAACGUACCCUAGAGUGGGGGAUAACGUAGCGAAAGUUACGCUAAUACCGCAUACGAUCUAAGGAUGAAAGUGGGGGAUCGCAAGACCUCAUGCUCGUGGAGCGGCCGAUAUCUGAUUAGCUAGUUGGUAGGGUAAAAGCCUACCAAGGCAUCGAUCAGUAGCUGGUUUGAGAGGACGACCAGCCACACUGGAACUGAGACACGGUCCAGACUCCUACGGGAGGCAGCAGUGGGGAAUUUUGGACAAUGGGCGAAAGCCUGAUCCAGCAAUGCCGCGUGAGUGAAGAAGGCCUUCGGGUUGUCAAGCUCUUUUGUCAGGGAAGAAACGGUGGGAGCUAAUAUCUCUUGCUAAUGACGGUACCUGAAGAAUAAGCACCGGCUAACUACGUGCCAGCAGCCGCGGUAAUACGUAGGGUGCAAGCGUUAAUCGGAAUUACUGGGCGUAAAGCGUGCGCAGGCGGUUUUGUAAGUCUGAUGUGAAAUCCCCGGGCUCAACCUGGGAAUUGCAUUGGAGACUGCAAGGCUAGAAUCUGGCAGAGGGGGGUAGAAUUCCACGUGUAGCAGUGAAAUGCGUAGAUAUGUGGAGGAACACCGAUGGCGAAGGCAGCCCCCUGGGUCAAGAUUGACGCUCAUGCACGAAAGCGUGGGGAGCAAACAGGAUUAGAUACCCUGGUAGUCCACGCCCUAAACGAUGUCUACUAGUUGUCGGGUCUUAAUUGACUUGGUAACGCAGCUAACGCGUGAAGUAGACCGCCUGGGGAGUACGGUCGCAAGAUUAAAACUCAAAGGAAUUGACGGGGACCCGCACAAGCGGUGGAUGAUGUGGAUUAAUUCGAUGCAACGCGAAAAACCUUACCUACCCUUGACAUGGCUGGAAUCCUUGAGAGAUCAGGGAGUGCUCGAAAGAGAACCAGUACACAGGUGCUGCAUGGCUGUCGUCAGCUCGUGUCGUGAGAUGUUGGGUUAAGUCCCGCAACGAGCGCAACCCUUGUCAUUAGUUGCUACGAAAGGGCACUCUAAUGAGACUGCCGGUGACAAACCGGAGGAAGGUGGGGAUGACGUCAAGUCCUCAUGGCCCUUAUGGGUAGGGCUUCACACGUCAUACAAUGGUACAUACAGAGCGCCGCCAACCCGCGAGGGGGAGCUAAUCGCAGAAAGUGUAUCGUAGUCCGGAUUGUAGUCUGCAACUCGACUGCAUGAAGUUGGAAUCGCUAGUAAUCGCGGAUCAGCAUGUCGCGGUGAAUACGUUCCCGGGUCU